UACCGGGAUAUACAAACAUACAUACUUACAUGGUUUACAAAGGAAAUUAGUGGAUCUGGCAGAGUAUGCGUUGUGUCAAGGCUGCGUAGUGAAUAAAGAAGUCAUCCGUGUUGUUGAGUUUAGGAGGUGGAUCCCUUUCCUAGACGGAAUACACAAUUCUAAACUUGGAUUUUUUAUUUACGUACUUUUGAUGAGUCCUUGUGAACUCUCUUAAACUUGUCAUGUUUGUAACUUACUUUAUGUAUCGACAUUUCCAAACAAUGAUGUUGUGGUAUUCUUAUACUUAAUGAAUGGAUGCACAUCUUGUGUUUUAUUUUCA